rnacentral:rRNA from 1 species
UACGUAGGGGGCAAGCGUUGUUCGGAAUUACUGGGCGUAAAGGGCGCGUAGGCGGCACGGCAAGUCGGGAGUGAAAGCCCGGGGCUCAACCCCGGAGGGUCUUCCGAAACUGCCGAGCUAGAGUGCGGAAGAGGCAACCGGAAUUCCCAGUGUAGCGGUGAAAUGCGUAGAUAUUGGGAAGAACACCAGAGGCGAAGGCGGGUUGCUGGGCCGACACUGACGCUGAGGCGACGAAAGCCAGGGGAGCAAACGGG